AUGCCUCGCGCGCCUCCUCCUCCCGCUCCAGCGCCGCCGCUACCCUCGGCCGCCUCCCUCUAUACAGUGGUGUCGCCUCUCCUCCCCUAUACGUGCGCCGCCGCCCCUCCGCCCCCUCCUACCUGUCGUCGUCUCGCCGCUGCAGCCGUCCCCAAGUUGAGAAAGCUAUCAAGGCUAGGGUUCACCGGAAAGGAAGAAAAAAUUCCCCAUUCCCUCCGGCAUCUCUUACGCCCCGCUGCCGGCCUACUCUUCCUCUCAGAAGUGUCGUCUUCAUCCUCGACGCAGAAGGAUAGCACGGACUGCAGAGAUGCCCUGCCGCCGUGCUCCUUUUCGCCGAUCCCCUUCCACCAGAUUCGAUGA
rnacentral:rRNA from 1 species